rnacentral:rRNA from 1 species
UACGUAGGGCGCAAGCGUUAUCCGGAAUUAUUGGGCGUAAAGAGCUCGUAGGCGGUUUGUCGCGUCUGCCGUGAAAGUCCGGGGCUCAACUCCGGAUCUGCGGUGGGUACGGGCAGACUAGAGUGAUGUAGGGGAGACUGGAAUUCCUGGUGUAGCGGUGAAAUGCGCAGAUAUCAGGAGGAACACCGAUGGCGAAGGCAGGUCUCUGGGCAUUAACUGACGCUGAGGCAUGAAAGCGUGGGGAGCAAACAGG